AUUUUUUUUUUCGAAAAAAAAUUAGUUAUGGUGGAAUGGAUCUGAAUGGAGCCGCCAGACGUAAGAACGCCACAAGGGAGACAACAAAUACUUUAAAGGCUUGGCUCUACGAACACAGAAAGAACCCUUAUCCCACAAAGGGCGAGAAGAUAAUGCUGGCCAUUAUUACAAAAAUGACGCUAACCCAAGUCAGUACUUGGUUUGCCAACGCCAGACGCCGCCUUAAGAAGGAGAACAAGAUGACGUGGUCGCCAAGAAACCGGUGUGGAGACGCCGAUGAUGAAAACAGCAAUGACAAGGCCGACGACGAUGAUGAAAGUGAUGAUAAAACGAAAGACCGACGAAAACAGCAACGACCCCAUUAAACAAAACGAAGAGAAGGACAGUUUUGACAUCUUGAAAGUCAAAAACGACCAAGAUUCAGUGUUGGAGGAGAAUUCGGUUUUCAGCGACAAAAACAGCCUGAUGAGUACCCUGACCCCAAUCGGGGUGGUGGACAGUAUGCAAGCACCCUCAAUGUCCAACACAGAGUUAAAACCACCGAUCAUGGACCAUAAACGACUCGAAUCCCCGUGUUCAAACAGCAGUGACUCUGGUCUCAGUGACAUAAACACUUCCCUGACCUUAAACGCUUCCAAUAUGGAUGGCGGGGACGGCCUAAGACCCCGGAUAUGGUCUCUUGCGCAUGUAGCGACCUCUACCGCUGGAUGCACCAAUACUACCUCCCAACUCACCAACGGAAAAGACCAAAGCCUUCCGCUAAAUUUCUCAAAAUUAGGAUCACCUUCCAUGCCAUCUUCUGCCUCCACAAUGAGACCGUGGAUGGACAACGCUUUUUCUAUAGGAUCGUCAAUGUUCUCAACAAAUUCCUCAUCUGGUUACACAAACCUUAGUGCCAACAACGGGAGCGGGAUGCUGGACAAGAACUCAACGCUGCCCGGAGUAACCGGAUCAGGAUUUAACGGACUCUCGUCAACCGGAAGUUCACCUAUUCUACGACCCUAUCCUUCUCUCUCAACCCUAUACUCACCGGCGCGUGACGUAGGAGCAAGGAGUAAUGAAAGACUAACAAACCCUAUCGGGUAACUAAACUUUAUUUAUUUAUUGACAAUUAAAUGGGUUUUUUUUAAUAAAAAAAAAUUGUACAUAAUGGAAUGUAUACAACGAACUUUAAAAAAAAAAGGAAAAGAAAAAUACAAAGCCAAUUUUUUUUCUCAUGUAUCCGAAUUUUUGCACAUCUCAUGAAAAGAACAAACAUUGAUUUUUAUUACUGAAGAUGUAAUUUGUUUUUGUUGGAUUACUUAUAAUUCGUUCAUCUCGGAAUAUCUUCAGAGAAGAUGUGCCGACCAUAUCGUAUUAGGAUUCCUAUGUGGGGGACUAUCUUCAGGAAUCUACGGAUGUUUCAUGGUGAAGCAGGCGUGAUAGGGUCAAAAUCUUCCGUGCUCGGAGACAUUUGGAGGGCGCUUAAGGACAAUGCGCGAUCCUAUCCCGUUAUAUUCAGUGUUUGGUGCAGACAAGAGUUUUCCUAACAAGGUUAAUAUGACUACGAAGGGAUUUAUGAAGACUCCGAUUAUUCUGAAGUGCUAAAUAUUCCACCAAGUGCUAUGAGCCAAGUGAUGUUUAUACUGACUUGAUGCUAUCAGACAGGAAAAUUAGUCAGAAAUUGACAUUGGGAAUCAGGGUAACGUGUUUAUAUUUAUGUCUAAUCGUAUGUUGACAUUGGUCAUCGAGGGGGAGAUAUUGCCUCGUUGGGUUCUCUCACCCAGAAAAGGUCGGGAUCGGGCUCCACUUUAGAACUCAAGUAGUCCGAAGAAAAACUUAAUGCGCCAUCAGUCUUUUUACCUAUUGCGCUUUAAUUGAACUGAAGUGCGCUGUCACCAUAGACUUGAAAAAUGAGUUUGUUGAGCAGAAACAAUGAUAGUGUAAGAGCUUCGAGGCAAUAUUUACUGUGAAAAAUAUCUAAAGAUUCCAAACUCGUUUUCACGCGACAGAAGGACUUUAGCUAAAGAAGGUCAUGAAUAGGUCUUGUAAAUAUUUCUCUAGAAUCACACGACACAAAUUUUGAUGAAUUAUUUCGAAGUCUUCUGCAAAUUUUUCUUGAUGUGUAUAUUAUUUUAAUAUGUUUAAGCAAAGAAAGGAAACAUUUGGGGUUUAUAGUAGAUUCUAUCUUGUUAAACAAGAUUGAACAGAAAUAGGUUUACAUGAUAAUAAGAGGAAAAGUUAUUAAGACUGUGUAUUUAUUUGUUUUCUAUUUAUUACCGAAACCAAUUUAUCAGUCAUUUUAUAAAAUGACUGUUGUAUAUUAAUACUACAAUUUUUGAGAACAAAAACAAACUCGGUUUUGUAUUUGCAAUUGACACAAAAUCAUAUUGAUUAUUUCUUCUUUUGUUUUAUUUUUCUUUGUCAAUAUGUAUAGCUGUUUAUUCAAAUGGAAUAAUAAAAAAAAAUUAUUGAGU
rnacentral:misc_RNA from 1 species